AUUGAACGCUGGCGGCAUGCCUUACACAUGCAAGUCGAACGGUAACGCGGGGCAACCUGGCGACGAGUGGCGAACGGGUGAGUAAUGUAUCGGAACGUGCCCAGUUGUGGGGGAUAACUGCUCGAAAGAGCAGCUAAUACCGCAUACGACCUGAGGGUGAAAGCGGGGGAUCGCAAGACCUCGCGCAAUUGGAGCGGCCGAUAUCAGAUUAGGUAGUUGGUGGGGUAAAGGCUCACCAAGCCGACGAUCUGUAGCUGGUCUGAGAGGACGACCAGCCACACUGGGACUGAGACACGGCCCAGACUCCUACGGGAGGCAGCAGUGGGGAAUUUUGGACAAUGGACGCAAGUCUGAUCCAGCCAUGCCGCGUGCGGGAAGAAGGCCUCGGUGUAACGCUUGUCAGGGACGAAGCGAAAGUGACUGUACCUGCAGAAGAAGACACCGGCUAACUACGUGCCAGCAGCCGCGGUAAU
rnacentral:rRNA from 1 species